rnacentral:tRNA from 1 species
GGAGGUGUGUUGACUGGUUUAACAAUUGGAUUGCAAAUCUAAUAUUAUAGGUUCAAGUCCUAUCUCCUCUU